AUGCGUAUGGUAUACUCGACUAGAGAAUUCGGGUCGUUAUACGAAUGGGACGUAUCUUUUAUUCGGAAGGCUUUGUUAAUGAAGGUUUUGGAGGGUAGUCCUGCAUAUUCCGAAGGGUCUGCAGACCAAACGGAGGGAUAAAAUUGGCCGCAGAAGGGAAGGGAGGAAGGCCGUACGACAACACCCCCCGACGGUCACCCCAGGAGGCAACCGGCGACGAGUGUGUGAAUUUCAUCGUCGAGUUUCGAGCAGUGACUCAGUGCGCCGCCGAGGGUGCUGUGUGUAGUGAUGCGUAGGGAGGGUCAGUGUCGGGUGAUGUUCUCGGGCAAAUCGCGGAAUAAGCACACGAACUUAGGACCGAUGGCGAUGGUGUUAGAGAACGCGCGUGCCGUGUGAUUGCGUGAUGUGCGCCCACAGGAACGUCACCAUGCAAGACAAGCGGAACAGGCAGGACAAGACUAUGGAUUUGGUGAUCUGGAAGUUGAGGAAUUAAACUUACGCGAAGGAAUUUUGAAAGGGAGAAGAACCGCAAGAGAAGGUAGAAUAGAAGACAAUACUGGAUUUUAUUUUUUGAAAUAAGGAAGUAAGGAAGAAAAAAAAGAAAAAAAGGCGCGGACAGAAUUAUCAGUGCCGUAAAUUCACUUACAA